UUUCCGUAGGUGAACCUGCGGAAGGAUCAUUAGUUAUUGCAAUAGUGGCUUAAAACUCUAUCCAUUUACACCUGUGAACCGCUCGAUGGACACUAUGUGUUGAUUUUACAGACAAUAUGUAAAGACAUUCAAGUUAUUAGAACAAAAAAUAACUUUCAACAACGGAUCUCUUGGCUCUC
rnacentral:misc_RNA from 1 species